GGCCGCGGGAUUAGAGUUUGAUCCUGGCUCAGAGCGAACGCUGGCGGCAUGCUUAACACAUGCAAGUCGCACGGGCAGCAAUGUCAGUGGCGGACGGGUGAGUAACGCGUAGGUAUCUAUCCUUGGGUGGGGGACAACUGUGGGAAACUACAGCUAAUACCGCAUAACAACUGAGGUUCAAAGGCGCAAGUCGCCUGAGGAGGAGCCUGCGUACGAUUAGCUAGUUGGUGGGGUAAAGGCCUACCAAGGCGACGAUCGUUAGCUGGUCUGAGAGGAUGAUCAGCCACAUUGGGACUGAGACACGGCCCAAACUCCUACGGGAGGCAGCAGUGGGGAAUAUUGGACAAUGGGCGAAAGCCUGAUCCAGCAAUGCCGCGUGUGUGAAGAAGGCCUUCGGAUUGUAAAGCACUUUCGACGGGGACGAUGAUGACGGUACCCGUAGAAGAAGCCCCGGCUAACUUCGUGCCAGCAGCCGCGGUAAUACGAAGGGGGCUAGCGUUGCUCGGAAUGACUGGGCGUAAAGGGCGCGUAGGCGGAUGGCACAGUCAGAUGUGAAAUUCCCGGGCUUAACCUGGGGGCUGCAUUUGAUACGUGUUGUCUAGAGUGAGGAAGAGGGUCGUGGAAUUCCCAGUGUAGAGGUGAAAUUCGUAGAUAUUGGGAAGAACACCGGUGGCGAAGGCGGCGACCUGGUCCUUGACUGACGCUGAGGCGCGAAAGCGUGGGGAGCAAACAGGAUUAGAUACCCUGGUAGUCCACGCUGUAAACGAUGUGUGCUGGAUGCUGGGCGACCUAGUCGCUCAGUGUCGUAGCUAACGCGAUAAGCACACCGCCUGGGGAGUACGGCCGCAAGGUUGAAACU
rnacentral:rRNA from 1 species